rnacentral:rRNA from 1 species
UACGUAGGGGGCGAGCGUUGUCCGGAUUUAUUGGGCGUAAAGAGCGUGUAGGCGGUUCGGUAAGUCUGUCGUGAAAUCCUGAGGCUCAACCUCGGGCAUGCGAUGGAUACUGCCGGGCUAGAGGGUGGUAGAGGCGAGUGGAAUUCCCGGUGUAGCGGUGAAAUGCGCAGAUAUCGGGAGGAACACCAGUAGCGAAGGCGGCUCGCUGGGCCACACCUGACGCUGAGACGCGAAAGCUAGGGGAGCGAACAGG